rnacentral:rRNA from 1 species
AGGAUGAACGCUGGCGGCGUGCCUAACACAUGCAAGUCGAACGCGCUCCAUUCGGUAGCAAUACUGAUGAAGAGCGAGUGGCGAACGGGUGAGUAACACAUGAGCAACCUGCCCCGAAGACUGGGACAACACCGGGAAACCGGUGCUAAUACCGGAUAUCCCUAUCGGACCGCAUGAUCUGAUAAGGAAAGUUUUUCGCUUCGGGAGGGCUCGUGGCCUAUCAGCUAGUUGGUGAGGUAACGGCCCACCAAGGCAUCGACGGGUAGCUGGUCUGAGAGGACGAUCAGCCACACUGGGACUGAGACACGGCCCAGACUCCUACGGGAGGCAGCAGUGGGGAAUCUUGCGCAAUGGGCGAAAGCCUGACGCAGCAACGCCGCGUGGAGGAUGAAGGCUUUCGGGUUGUAAACUCCUGUCAUUUGGGAACAAGUCUUACGUAACUGCGUGGAGAUUUGAUAGUACCGAAAGAGGAAGAGACGGCUAACUCGUAGUGACCG